ensembl:lncRNA
UCACAUUUUGGUCGGAGAUGCUGCUGCUCUAGUGUGACAUCUAGUGGUGAAUUUUGCGUAUAUAACUUUGAAUGAGCACGAUCCUCAAGUGUGAUAAGGACAUUUGGUUUCAGCCUUGCAGAAGGUUGGCUGAACAGCAUCACAACAGGAUGUGAUGUCAGGAGGCUGUAAGAGGUUGUUAUUGCCACGUCAACGUGUCUGCCUUCGUUGUGCCUUCAGCAGGUGGUGUCCAGUCAGCUUGUUCCAGCUCAUGAAGCCGCGUCCAGUGGCCGUUGAGUCUUCAUGUUUCUUUCCUUCCUGUUUUGCUCUUUUUGGUCAAUGUCACUGCUGGCCACGCCCACAGGAAAUAGCAUAUGGCCUUUAUAAAGUCAGAAUGUCUACCUUUAUUACACAGACUGUUAAUGUCCUUUUAAUGUGUUAGAAGUUGCACAUUGCAGCUUUUAAAUUCCCUCCCACUCUUGCUGUAUCUGCCUCCCUAAACAGAGACAUCGCCGAAGAAUAAAUCAGCGAAUCAAAACGACUCGGAGCAUCCGGUCGCCACGAUGGUGACAAACACAAACGUUGUGUGCUCGGGAGAAAUUGAUUGUGUUUCUGUCGUUUCCCUCCCUCGUAUGGAUUUUCUGUUAGACGUGGAGGAGGAGGAGGAGGAGGAGGAGGAGGAAACAACGGGAGAGGCAGAGAUGUGGAGAAUGGAGUUGCCAUGGUGACCGUUGGCAUGUUGGGGGGUGCAGUGAGUGUUUGCGAGUGAGUGAGUGAAGGCGUGUUUGUGUGUGUCUGUUUCAUAGAUUUCAGGUGUUGCGGGGGAUUAUUCUGCUGAGGAGACACAAGAGCAGUAAUGCAGCUUCAGUAUCACAGCUUCAACAUGAGGAUACACCAUCAGAAACACCAACACGUGUCUUUCAAAAAGCUGCUCUUCACGGAAGAGUUCAAUCCAAAAGAAUGCUGCACAAGUUCUAAGAAAAUGUCUUCUGGAAGGGUGGAGUACCUGUGUAAAGGCCCUGCUGCACCCCCACACAGGUGUUCACUCUCAGGCUGGCUGAGUAGAUCUCUGCUCGGGUUGAAGAUGGGCGGAGCUACGCUGCAAUUACACAAUGUCACCAAACUUCAUGGACCAAUAAGAAUGAAGAUGAUGUGGUGACUUUUCCACCCAAACAGGUGCAACAGAUUUCAUAAUCGGGCCAACAAAGCUUUAAAUGCCCACGUGGUUCUGAGAGGGACUUUAAUUAGACGAAGUGUGUGUGGGUCUGUAAGUGCACCCAAAGACUGUGUUUAGUAUGAAAAGAUAAAAUGCCUUAACAUGUGUUCUAGUUGGUGUGAUGUUAUGAAAGUUAUAUUUAACAGUACAACUUUAAAAAUUUUGUAUCACAUGAAAUAAUCAUACUUUUAUCACCAAAAUCAGGAUUUUUUUUUUUUUUUACCAACAAUGCUAAAAUUGUACCUGUUAAAUGUUUUCCAUAUGAAAUAAUCCAUUUUGCACAGCCUAUAUGUGCCUAUCUGGGAUAUUCAACUUGCUAUGAGUUUAUAGAUCUCAAAUAUCUGAUUGUGCUCCUUAUAGUUUCUGAGAUACUGCCUUUUUUUUAAAUUUGUGUGUCUAACUUUUAUUUGGAAUAUAUAGAUAGGAGCCAAUCGCAUGUCAAAAUAAUAAAAAUCCCUCCAUUUUUAUUGCUUAUUUUAGAGCAUUUUCUACCAUUUUAGGAAGAAAACUACUAAAUACUAAACAGUACUAGGACAAACUCACGUUUCAGCCAAACUGUUGAACAUUUCUUCAGUUUUGUGCUUUAGGAAACCGAAGUGCUUUUGUUAACCACACGUGGACCUCAGGAUGUGAACCUUUUCCUGUGCUCGCUCUUUACACCCACCAUCGACCCCGACCACCUCCCUGAGACUUACAUGUGGCACAUAAACGUAGAGCUUCCUACACUCUGAGCAGCAAUUACAUAUUCCAUCAAACUGUAAUUAGCAAAAACGUAAAUUCUAGGAUAUAGGGACGUCCCUGUGGUGCUUUUAUCAGCCACAUAUGGUGGGAGAGAUGGCUGGUGAAUUAUGUAUAUCCCACUCUCUUUAUUUAAUGUCUGUCUCGUGAGUGGACGCCUCCUGAAGACUGCAGCAGAGGCAGAAAUGUCAGCGUCUUGUUUUCAAGGUUACUUUUUAAGGUUUUUGAAGUUUUCCACAUCAACCGAGCAGAAAAACCUUUUGAGGUAUUUGGGCUUUUUAUUGAAUUCCUGGCAUUUAGAUUUUGGUUGAAGUCACAAAUCCACAUACAAAUGAGUGGAAAUGUGUCAGUCUCAUCCAAAUAAACACUGUUCAAACUCUAAUUUAGAUCCCAGAGUUUCCAAAGAUACACAUUUGUCAGUUUGAAUAUUUGGGAAAUGAGACAAAUUGGCAUCUUUUCAAGAUUUCAUCUAAAAUAUACAUCAUACAGCAGACAGAGAAUAUAUUUUAUACUGACAGUGAUUUGUUUUAAAGGCACUGAAAGAGAAAACCAAGUUGAAUAAAAAGCAGCAUUAAUGAGAAUUAAUGCAAGAGGAGUAAACUUUAUUCUUUUAAAUCAAUAUAAUAACUUUAUAUUAAAUAUUAUUAUUCAAUAAACUAUGAAGAAAUAAUUUAUAUGCAAACAGAAAUUAGCGUUCUUCAUUUUGAUGCUGCUCUAGUUUGUCCUCCACAACAUCCCUGAGCAUUUAUAUUUUAAUACCAUGCUGUCAGUCACGUUUAAAGAGUCGUAAUAGAUCAGCUCUGGUGCGAGCAGGAGCAGACCACAACAACCGGACGGGGUCUAAUGGGUUUUAUUAUCUCAGAGGGGUCGGAGGUCGAAGUUGAGGUCGAGCUCUUCAUGUUUUCUCUUCAUUUCUGCUCCCGGAGGUCUCCGACCCAACUGACCACAAACACAACGCUGCCAAGUCCAUUUUUCUAAUGGCUUAUUCCUGUUGGCUAAAAUCUGUAUGUAAGAGGGGAGAAAAUCUCAAAGGUCUUUAUGACAAAUCGUUUAAAACUAUAAACGGAAAAUUCUAACUCAUUAUCAGGAUUUUAUUGUCACUUCCAAAAGAUCUGUUAGAUUAAAACAUUAUAAUAAUGUAUAGUUGGAAAACAGCAGACAAAGUUAGCAUGAACUUGCAUAAAAACAUUUUUUUCCUCAGGAGUUGGUGGAGACCAAAACCAGAGCUAAAAGGAGAGUGACAAUUGGACUCUGAUUCAUCAGCUGGACACAAAUAUGACACACAAGAAGCAAGUGAAUUAAACUUCGCUUUGUGAGCGUACACACACAAUAAGGUGAUAAUAUGUCAGCAAGGACAAACAUUUUUAUUAUUAGCAGUAGCAGUCAUACUAGUGUUAAGGAAUAAGAAUGCUGUUGUGUUUGAAUAUUUUCAUGCAUGCAACAGUUUUGUGUUCUGGUAUGAAACAACAGCCUCACCGAGCUGCUGCUGGGCCUCUCAAAAUUGUACUGCUGCAACAUAAAACAUUGUUUCACCAACACGCUCCCCCUGUUUCCUCCUCCUCUGUCACACACACACACACACACACACACACACACACACACACACACACACACGUGGAGAGCCUGUGGCAUCGCAGCUGAGCUCGGAUUAUUACCUCAGAGCUCAAGAGCCUGUUGUCUGCAUCAAAUGAAGCAGCCAAGUUGAAACAGAGUCCAGAGACGAGCGUUUAUUCACAGCUAAUAAGUCUCCAUUCACCCCCCCCCCCCCAAAUAAAAACCAACCAGAAGUAAUAAUGAAGUUUAUCAUUUCAGCGCAGAGACAGAACUGACAGCAAGUGACGUGAUCAGACAUCAGAAGUCAUUUCCUCAUUGCACUGUGGACACGGGAGAUGAUGGCGGGAUGAUGGCCGCCCUCGCCUCGCCGCCAUCGGGGGCCCUGGUGAAACAAACGUAUUCGAGUGUGGACAACAUGGCGGUUGACUUUGGAUCAGAGCUGCAUCUGUCGCUGAAAAAUGGAUAAAAAUACUGGAGUCGAACUAACGAUCUCUGAAGCUGUUUGAAUAUGAAUCAGAUGUCACUUUCACCAUGGCAACCGCCUCCUUCCCGCCGGUGAUGCUCUUCAGUUGACCACAAAGAGUCGACCGCCAUCUGGGCUAACAGGCGGAGGGAGGAGGGAGAGCAGCACACAACACACACACACACACACACACACACACACACACACACACACACACACACACACACACACACACACACACAGAAAACAAUGCACAACACACAGAUGAACACACACACACAACUCAUAAAUGUGCGCCAAAAAACAACACAAAGCCUCGCCUGAACAACCCUGAUUUAACCAGAAGAAUACAAAGAUUGAAAGCUUUAUUGACACUGAGUAACUAGAUUGACAGGACGCCUCAAACUGCAGAUCAGGUCAAUUAUUACUCUGCUAGAAAAGCUGUUUCUAUGUGCACAUUAAACCGCCUUCAACCCUCCUCUAACGGAUCUUUUAUAUUUAGUUCUUUCAGACAAAUCAGGUUUACAACGAUUUAAAAUAAAGAACUACAAACGUAUUCAAAGAUUCAUUCAAAUUUUUGCUCCCUAUAAAACCUUAAUCUGACCUCCAUCCGCCUUCAUUUACCACCAGUAGAGAUUUUUCCUCCCCUUUAAUGAUUUAAGUGCAUCUUCCACGGUUAAGUUGGUUUUUGUCUGUUGUUAUGAUUGGGUGUCUGCGCACUGUGCGCAGGGUGUUUUAUUUUGAACAUUUAUCGGAUUCUCUGCUGUUUCUGUGUCUUACUUUCUUCUUAGAGGCUAACAGAUCAAUUUCAGUCUAAAACUUGAUUUAUGAUUAAAUGUUAUGUUUAGUAGCUCUCUACUUUUUGAAUAAUUUUAAAAACCUACGUUAAUUUUCAUUGAUUUUCUGUGUUUUUAAAUGGUUGUAGUUGGUGCUACCUUUAGUUGAACUCAUGCUGCUAUUCUUUUUGAUUGUUUUUAAAGGUACAAUAUGUAACAUUAAAACAUCUAUAGAUAUUAUCAAAUAUAUACAUUAUCCCGAUUGCUUCCAACAAUGUUCAGAAUUUUAUUCAUAUUCAUUCAGGUUUCGUCGGGUCGCCUGUUAAUGGUGUCACAUCCUCUAGUUGCUAUAAUUUCACACGAUCAUCGGAGCCGACAUGACUAAACGUAACACGGACAAAACUUUAAUACAUUAUCUCGUCCGUUAAUGAUUUCUGCCUUUCUGAGUUACAUCAGAGAGAUUUUAUUAGAAAUGGUUUUUGUUUAACAAUAAAGACAACAACUCCCAUUAUCACAUACUACUUCACAAAGUCAUCAACCUGCGUCUCUUUUGUUGUUGUUUGUUGAUGUGGCAGACAAUUGAAAUACAUCUCCCCCUGGUGGCUGACUGCAGUAUAGACUCUCUCUCUAUCUCCCCUGGUGGCUGACUGCAGUAUAGACUCUCUCUCUCUCUCUCUCUCUCCCCCCUGGUGGCUGACUGCAGUAUAGACUCUCUCUCUCUCUCUCUAUCUCCCCCUGGUGGCUGACUGCAGUAUAGACUCUCUCUCUAUCUCCCCUGGUGGCUGACUGCAGUAUAGACUCUCUCUCUCUCUCUCUCUCUCUCUCUCUAUCUCCCCCUGGUGGCUGACUGCAGUAUAGACUCUCUCUCUCUCUCUCUCUCUCUCCCCCUGGUGGCUGACUGCAGUAUAGACUCUCUCUCUCUCUCUCUAUCUCCCCCUGGUGGCUGACUGCAGUACAGCUCAUAAAGCCUCCAGAUGCAACAAAAAUAAAUCAAAGUCAAAUAAAAUUUUCACAAACACGGUUUCUGUCAUUUUAGGUUGUUCUCAUCACGCUGAUUUUUGUUCCAGUGUUCAUUUCUCUAUAAGACUGAAUGGUACCUGUGUGUUAUUGUAGCCAAUGAAGCUGCCCCCUGCUGGCCUUUACAUUGAAUGCAGGUUUAAGUCACUUCUGCGUUGCCUUCACUUUCUGUCUGCUGUUUAUACUGUCAAUGAGUGGGAGGAAGCAGAAGCACGGCAUCGAUGACAAACCCCCUAGUAGCAUUAAUGACGUAUUGCUCUCUUGAGGUUACUUGCAUUUACAUUACAUUAUAAUGUUCUAGCAAGGUGCUAUCUAAAUAAAAAUGUUACUGACUGAAAGCCAAAACAGGAUCC